ensembl:lincRNA
CACUCGCGCCAGGUCUCCAGGUGGCGCCUGGGCUGACUCGCGCCAGGUCUCCAGGUGGCGCCUGGGCCGACGGCUGGCAGCAGGGGAAGGAGCUGAGCCGCCAGGGCAGGCGCCCUCUCCCGGACCCUGGUGUCCCCGGGCGUCGCGCUCAGCCCCUUCCCUUACCAUGCCCGUCACAUACAUGAUGGACGGCCACCUGCCCAUUUUGCAGAUGCACAAACUCAGAAAGCUGCGGCGAGGCGCCCCGGGCCUCCCACCAGAGAGGCAGAGCGGGGAAUUAAGACCCACGCCCUAGACACGGGCCCGGGGUCCUUCUACGACCGACCCCUCAGCUGCGCAACUGCAGAGACACUGACGCCCCAGUGUACCCAUUUAGCAACCGCCUGAGCCGAGGAAAUGAGAGGUGGCACUGCCCCAGCCCGCAGGGAUCAAUCCCUGCUCCCUUCUCCGCACGCUCAUUAUUACCCCAACCGUGACCGGCCGGAAAACCCUGCCAGAGAUCGAUGUCAAGCUCUCGGGGAUAGUAGUUCCUGUUGUAAAAUGCUCCUCUGGGCCGAAAGCCACCGUUGGGUGCCGUACUGCCUGGGCCCGCCACCACCCGGACCGGGGGGGAUCUCCGGGCCCAGGGGGUCCAAGAGUGACUCAGGCACGCCUGUGAAGGUCUGGAGGAAGGGCGCCCAGGCUACAGGAACAGCAAGCGGGGGCGCCCCCAGGUGGAAUCAGUCUUGCUGCACCCCAGGGCCAGGAAGAGCCUCCACCUGCGAGGCUGGGCGGAGCCAACGAGAGAGCAGCAGCCAGAAAGGCUGUGGCAGGUGCAGCAGCCUCCUGGGGGAAGAGGGAGGUGAGGAGACACAAGUCUCUUUUCGUCUCCUCCCAGCCAGGUCCCUCAGCAUCCGCUCAGCUGGGGGUACCUGCGUCUGGAUGAAGGUGGGGUAUGCUGCUUUCCCUGUCUUGUAGCCUGUGGCUAAAGCCAAUGUCCCCGACUAUAUUAGUGCUCUAUUGCUGUGUAGCCGGAGUACCACUAACUUUUAGCAGCUUAAAACAACACACAGUAAUUAUCUCCCAGUUUCUGUGGUCAACAGUCUGGACACAGCUUAACUGGCUCCUCCGUUAGGAACUCACAAGGGUGCCACCAAGGCGUCUGCUGGGGCGUGUUCUUACUCGGAAGCUAGACUGGGGAAGAAUCUGCUUCCUAGCUCACUUAGGUUGUUGGCAGAAUUCAUUCCCUUUGAGGUUACGGGACUGAGCAUCCUGGUUCUGGCUGGCUGCAGGCUGGGGACCACUCUCAGCCCCUAGAGGCUGCUGGGAGAUCCUCACUGUCUGUGCCUCUCCGGCAUGACCGGCUACUCCCCCAAAACCGCACAGACAGUCUCUAGGGCAAGUCGGCUAGCGAGACAGAACCUCAUAUGAAAGUGAAAUCAAAUCCAUUGCCUUUGCCGUAUUCCGCAAGUCACAGUUCCUGCCCACGCUCUUUCUAUUUUUAUGUAUAUCCCAUUAUCCUUAGUCUUUUUCUGAAUGAUUUGAGAGGAAGCUGUAGACAAAAUACCCCUCAAAUACUCCAGAGUGUACUUGCCCCCAAAUAAGGGCACUCUCCUACACAAACAUAUAAAAUACAACUUUCCGAGUUAAGAAGUCAACAGAGACUCAGCAUUACCAUCCCUUCUGUGGCCCCUAGAAGUCUCUGAUGGCUCCCUUGCUUUGUAACAGCUGAUGUUCCAGGUUGGUCUAGUACAUUUCUGUCCGUACCUGGAAUCAGCAUCUUCCCCAGGGAGCCCUCAUUAUCUCUAGGGAUAAAUGGCAUUUCAAGACCACAGUCUGGGGCCUUUGCAUCCAUUUUUUAAAAAUGUAAUUUGGCUUUAGCCCAGGAGUUCGAGACCAGCUGGGGUAACAUCGGGAGACCCCCGUCUCUACAAAACAAUUAUUUAAAAAAUUAGCCGAGCGUGGCGACACGUCCCUGUGGUCCCAGCUGCUCAGGAGGCUGAAGAGAGAAGAUCGCUCAAGCCUGGAGGAGUUUGAGGCUGCAGUGAGCCAGCAUCACACCACUGCACCCCAGCCUAACAGAGCAAGAC